GAUGAACGCUAGCGGCAGGCUUAACACAUGCAAGUCGAGGGGCAGCGCGAUGUAGCAAUACAUUGGCGGCGACCGGCGCACGGGUGCGUAACACGUAUGGAAUCUGCCCUGUACUGGAAGAUAACCCGGCGAAAGUCGGACUAAUAUCCCAUAAUAGCCGAGGUGGCAUCACCUUGGUUUGAAAGCUCCGGCGGUACAGGAUGACCAUGCGCACGAUUAGCUAGUUGGUGAGGUAACGGCUCACCAAGGCUACGAUCGUUAGGGGGCCUGAGAGGGUUAUCCCCCACACUGGUACUGAGACACGGACCAGACUCCUACGGGAGGCAGCAGUGAGGAAUAUUGCGCAAUGGAGGCAACUCUGACGCAGCCAUGCCGCGUGCAGGAAGAAGGCGCUACGCGCUGUAAACUGCUUUUAUCCGGGAAGAAACCCCAGGACGUGUCCUGGGUUGACGGUACCGGAGGAAUAAGCACCGGCUAACUUCGUGCC
rnacentral:rRNA from 1 species